AACCUAAAGGCGCAAUGAAAGUGAAAGUCUGUUUACGCGGACUUAGGGAGGAUAGGUGUCCGGACAUACUCUAUGUAUGUUACAGUCCUCGCACUCCCGGGGCGUCUCGCACUCAUUGCGAGGUGGGGCGCACCAAGAGCGUACACGCUGGGACCCGAAAGAUGGUGAACUAUGCCUGGUCAGGACGAAGUCAGGGGAAACCCUGAUGGAGGUCCGUAGCGAUUCUGACGUGCAAAUCGAUCGUCGGAACUGGGCUUAGGGGCGAAAGACUAAUCGAACCAUCUAGUAGCUGGUUCCCACCGAAGUUUCCCUCAGGAUAGCUGGCAUUAGAUUAUGGAUGAGUCUCAUCCGGUAAAGCGAAUGAUUAGAGGCAUUGGGGUCGAAACGGCCUCAACCUAUUCUCAAACUUUAAAUGGGUGAGAUCUCCGGCUUGCUCGAUUUAUGAAGCCGGAGAUCGGAUCAAUUAGUGCCAAGUGGGCCACUUUUGGUAAGCAGAACUGGCGCUGUGGGAUGAACCAAACGCAGAGUUAAAGCGCCAAAAUCGACGCUUAUGGGAUACCAUGAAAGGCGUUGGUAACUUAAGACAGCA
rnacentral:rRNA from 1 species